GAUGAACGCUGGCGGCGUGCCUAAUACAUGCAAGUCGAGCGAACGGACGAGAAGCUUGCUUCUCUGAUGUUAGCGGCGGACGGGUGAGUAACACGUGGAUAACCUACCUAUAAGACUGGGAUAACUUCGGGAAACCGGAGCUAAUACCGGAUAAUAUUUUGAACCGCAUGGUUCAAAAGUGAAAGACGGUCUUGCUGUCACUUAUAGAUGGAUCCGCGCUGCAUUAGCUAGUUGGUAAGGUAACGGCUUACCAAGGCAACGAUGCAUAGCCGACCUGAGAGGGUGAUCGGCCGCACUGGAACUGAGACACGGUCCAGACUCCUACGGGAGGCAGCAGUAGGGAAUCUUCCGCAAUGGGCGAAAGCCUGACGGAGCAACGCCGCGUGAGUGAUGAAGGUCUUCGGAUCGUAAAACUCUGUUAUUAGGGAAGAACAUAUGUGUAAGUAACUGUGCACAUCUUGACGGUACCUAAUCAGAAAGCCACGGCUAACUACGUGCCAGCAGCCGCGGUAAUACGUAGGUGGCAAGCGUUAUCCGGAAUUAUUGGGCGUAAAGCGCGCGUAGGCGGUUUUUUAAGUCUGAUGUGAAAGCCCACGGCUCAACCGUGGAGGGUCAUUGGAAACUGGAAAACUUGAGUGCAGAAGAGGAAAGUGGAAUUCCAUGUGUAGCGGUGAAAUGCGCAGAGAUAUGGAGGAACACCAGUGGCGAAGGCGACUUUCUGGUCUGUAACUGACGCUGAUGUGCGAAAGCGUGGGGAUCAAACAGGAUUAGAUACCCUGGUAGUCCACGCCGUAAACGAUGAGUGCUAAGUGUUAGGGGGUUUCCGCCCCUUAGUGCUGCAGCUAACGCAUUAAGCACUCCGCCUGGGGAGUACGACCGCAAGGUUGAAACUCAAAGGAAUUGACGGGGACCCGCACAAGCGGUGGAGCAUGUGGUUUAAUUCGAAGCAACGCGAAGAACCUUACCAAAUCUUGACAUCCUUUGACAACUCUAGAGAUAGAGCUUUCCCCUUCGGGGGACAAAGUGACAGGUGGUGCAUGGUUGUCGUCAGCUCGUGUCGUGAGAUGUUGGGUUAAGUCCCGCAACGAGCGCAACCCUUAAGCUUAGUUGCCAUCAUUAAGUUGGGCACUCUAAGUUGACUGCCGGUGACAAACCGGAGGAAGGUGGGGAUGACGUCAAAUCAUCAUGCCCCUUAUGAUUUGGGCUACACACGUGCUACAAUGGACAAUACAAAGGGCAGCGAAACUGUGAGGUCAAGCAAAUCCCAUAAAGUUGUUCUCAGUUCGGAUUGUAGUCUGCAACUCGACUACAUGAAGCUGGAAUCGUUAGUAAUCGUAGAUCAGCAUGCUACGGUGAAUACGUUCCCGGGUCU
rnacentral:rRNA from 1 species